rnacentral:lncRNA from 1 species
UGGCUUUCUACAGCUCUGCAUCUGAGUAAUUUCCAUUCGUCCAUGCUCUCACAUGUAUCAUAGGCUAAAUCGGGAAAGAUCUGAGUAGGAUAUGGGACAUUCAGGAUGGAGGUAUUUCCAGGAGGAAACAGGUAUCUGAGACCCAAUCACUGCAGGACACCACAGCACAGAGCUUUAUUGGCUGCUGAGUGAACCGAGCUCCCACAACACCUUCCUUCCCAAGAGAUCCCACAAAACAGGUGACAGCACAACAGGAGGACACCCUCAACCCCAGGACUGAGCUGCCAGGUCAAG